rnacentral:lncRNA from 1 species
UUUCUUUUAGAAAACUCCUUAAGCAUAUUUCUUCUACUGUUCCUACCAGUAUUUCCAUUAUAUACUGUAAAUCUCUCUAAUGUAUUUUUCUACUGCGUUCUUACUAUUUUUCUUCUAAUGAACUUUGUUUGAAUUCUUCUAAAAGAGCUUCUUAAGCAUGUUUCCUCUACUUUUCUUAUCAGUAUUUUCCAUUCUACCCUCUGAAUCCUGCUACUGUUUGCAUGUUUCUUUACUAUCAUGUUUUUCUCAUGAUUUCUGAAAGAAGCAUGUUAGAAGCUUCAGCUCUCUUCUGAAACCUUUACACAUGUCUCGAGUCAAUUUGCUUUCCCCCUCCUUUACAUUUUCUAGUUUUUUCGAAUUAGAGUUUUAUUUCAAAGACC